CUUGUGGACUGUUAUAGCAAAUGGGAGUAGUCUUUUUUCUUCAAGAAAUGAGGACAAAACCAGACAGGUUGAAGCAAGAA
ncrna:unclassified sequences RAGATH-18 RNA